ACAGUUUGAUCCUGGCUCAUACCGAACGCUGGCGGCAGGACUAACACAUGCAAGUCGAGCGCGCCCUUCCGGGUGAGCGGCGGACGGGUUAGUUACGCUGGGGAAUAUACCCGACACUAAGGAAUAGCCUCUGGAAACGGAGAGUAAUACCUUAUACGCCCUUCGGGGGAAAGAUUUAUCGGUGACGGAUUAGCCCGCGUUAGAUUAGAUAAUUGGUGGGGUAAUGGCCUACCAAGUCUACUAUCUAUAGCUGGUUUUAGAGGAUGAUCACCAACGCUGGGACUGAGACACGGCCCAGACUCCUACGGGAGGCACUUGUGGGGAAUCUUGGACAAUGGGCGCUUGCCUGAUCCAGCCAUGCCGCGUGAGUGAUGAAGGCCUUAUGGUCGUAAAGCUCUUUCGCCUGUGAUGAUAAUGACCGUAGCAGGUAAAGAAACCCCGGCUAACUACGUGCCAGCUGCCGCGGUAGUACGGAAGGGGUUAGCGUUGUUCGGAAUUACUGGGCGUAAAGCGCGCGUAGGCGGAUUAGUCAGGUAGAGGUGAAAUCCCAGGGCUCAACCCCGGAACUGCCUUUAAUACUGCUAGUCUUGAGUUCGAGAGAGGUGAGUGGAAUUCCGAGUGUCUAGGUGAAAUUCGUAGAUAUUCCGAGGAACACCAGUGGCGAAAGCGGGUCAGUGGAUCGAUACUGACGCUCAGGUGCGAAAGUGUCUAGAGCAGACACGAUUAGAUACUCCGGUAGUCCAUAUCGUACAUGAUCAAUGCCAGUCGUCCGCUAGCAUGCUUGUCGGUGAGGUGCUAACGGAUUAUGCAUUCCGCCUGCCUAGACCGUCGCAUGAUAAUCACUUCUCGGAAUCGACAGGCGCCGCUCUUGCGGUGGAGUAUGUGGUUGAUUCUAGGAUCGCGCAGAAACUGACUAACCUUGAAAUCUCGGACACCCCAG
rnacentral:rRNA from 1 species